rfam:Homo sapiens chromosome 7, GRCh38 reference primary assembly.
GCUGGGCAUGGUGGCGCGUGCCUGUAAUCCCAGCUACUUGGGAGGCUGAGACAGGAGAAUCGCUUGAACCCGGGAGGUGGAGGGUGCAGUGAGGUGAGAUCACGCCACUGCACUCCAGCCUGGGCAACAAGAGCGAAAUUCUGUCUCAA